rnacentral:tRNA from 1 species
GGUGGUGUGGUGUAAUGGUAGCACGUAGUGUUGUGGCCGCUUCAAUCUGGGUUCGAUUCCCAGCACCGCCA